rnacentral:rRNA from 1 species
CAAGUCGAGCGAUUCUCUUUGGAGAAGAGCGGCGGACGGGUGAGUAACGCGUGGGUAACCUGCCCUGUACACACGGAUAACAUACCGAAAGGUAUGCUAAUACGGGAUAACAUAAGAAAUUCGCAUGUUUUUCUUAUCAAAGCUCCGGCGGUACAGGAUGGACCCGCGUCUGAUUAGCUAGUUGGUGAGGUAACGGCUCACCAAGGCGACGAUCAGUAGCCGACCUGAGAGGGUGAUCGGCCACAUUGGAACUGAGACACGGUCCAAACUCCUACGGGAGGCAGCAGUGGGGAAUAUUGCACAAUGGGCGAAAGCCUGAUGCAGCAACGCCGCGUGAGCGAUGAAGGCCUUCGGGUCGUAAAGCUCUGUCCUCAAGGAAGAUAAUGACGGUACUUGAGGAGGAAGCCCCGGCUAACUACGUGCCAGCAGCCGCGGUAAUACGUAGGGGGCUAGCGUUAUCCGGAUUUACUGGGCGUAAAGGGUGCGUAGGCGGUCUUUUAAGUCAGGAGUGAAAGGCUACGGCUCAACCGUAGUAAGCUCUUGAAACUGGAGGACUUGAGUGCAGGAGAGGAGAGUGGAAUUCCUAGUGUAGCGGUGAAAUGCGUAGAUAUUAGGAGGAACACCAGUAGCGAAGGCGGCUCUCUGGACUGUAACUGACGCUGAGGCACGAAAGCGUGGGGAGCAAAC